GGGGUGCCCAGGCGCGAAACCUCUGCAAUGCGCGAAAGCGUGACAGGGGAAGUCUGAGUGGCGGAAACUUAGUUUCCGUCUUUUGCCAAGUGUAAACAGCUUGGAGAAUAAGGGUGUGGGCAAGACUGGCGGCAGCCGCCGCGGUAACACCAGCGCCUCGAGUGGUACCCACGAAUAUUGGGCCUAAAGCGUCCGUAGCUGGACCUCUAAGUCCGCUGUGAAAUGUUGGGGCUCAACCCUAACGCGUGCAGUGGAUACUGUUGGUCUUGGGAACGGGGGAGGGUCGGGGUACUUCCAGGGUAGGGGUAAAAUCCGUUGAGCCUGGAAGGACCACCAGUGGCGAAGGCGCCGAUCCAAAACGUGUCCGACGGUGAGGGACGAAAGCUGGGGAGCGAACGGGAUUAGAUACCCCGGCAGUCCCAGCUGUAAAUGAUGCAGACUGUGGUGUUACACAUGAGUAAUCAUGUGUAGUGCUGUAGCGUAGGUGUUAAAUCUGCCGCCUGGGGAGUACGAUCGCAAGAUUUAAACUUAAAGGAAUUGGCGGGGGAGCAC
rnacentral:rRNA from 1 species